rnacentral:rRNA from 1 species
UACGGAGGGUGCGAGCGUUAAUCGGAAUUACUGGGCGUAAAGGGUGCGUAGGUUGUUUAUUAAGUUAGCUGUGAAAUCCCUGGGCUUAACCUGGGCAUGUCAGCUAAGACUGAUGGACUCGAGUAUGGGAGGGGGCAGUGGAAUUUCCGGUGUAGCGGUGAAAUGCGUAGAGAUCGGAAGGAACACCAGUGGCGAAGGCGGCUGCCUGGCCUAAUACUGACACUGAGGCGCGAAAGCGUGGGGAGCAAACAGG